rnacentral:rRNA from 1 species
GAUGAACGCUGGCGGCGUGCUUAACACAUGCAAGUCGAACGAAGCACUUGGAUCUCUUCGGAGUGAUGAGUGACUGAGUGGCGGACGGGUGAGUAACGCGUGGGUAACCUGCCUCGUACAGGGGGACAACAGUUGGAAACGACUGCUAAUACCGCAUAAGAGCACAGUAUCGCAUGAUACAGUGUGAAAAGCGGAGGCGGUACGAGAUGGACCCGCGUUGGAUUAGCGAGUUGGGGGGGUAACGGCCUACCAAGGCGACGAUCCAUAGCCGACCUGAGAGGGUGACCGGCCACAUUGGGACUGAGACACGGCCCAAACUCCUACGGGAGGCAGCAGUGGGGAAUAUUGCACAAUGGGCGAAAGCCUGAUGCAGCGACGCCGCGUGAGCGAUGAAGUAUUUCGGUAUGUAAAGCUCUAUCAGCAGGGAAGAAAAUGACGGUACCUGACUAAGAAGCUCCGGCUAAAUACGUGCCAGCCGCCGCUGUAAGAC